rnacentral:rRNA from 1 species
UGAGGAAUCUUGCGCAAUGGGCGAAAGCCUGACGCAGCGACGCCGCGUGAAGGAUGAAGGUCUUCGGAUUGUAAACUUCUGUUAAGCGGGAAGAAAGGCCUAUUUCUAAUACAGAUAGGAUAUGACGGUACCGCUAGAGAAAGCACCGGCUAACUUCGUGCCAGCAGCCGCGGUAAUACGAGGGGUGCAAGCGUUAUUCGGAUUAAUUGGGUGUAAAGGGUGCGCAGACGGUUUGUUAAGUCACUUGUUAAAUUCCUCGGCCUAACUGAGGGUGUGCAGGUGAUACUGGCGAACUUGAGGAUGGAAGAGAGAAGUGGAAUUCUCGGAGUAGCGGUAAAAUGCGUAGAUCUCGAGAGGAACACCAAUGGCGAAGGCAGCUUCUUGGUCCAUAUCUGACGUUCAUGCACGAAAGCGUGGGGAGCAAACAGGAUUAGAUACCCCCGUAGUCC